rnacentral:rRNA from 1 species
UGACCCCAGGUUAGGCGUGGCCACCCUUCGAGUUUAA